GGACCUUACUUUUCUCACCACUGAACUGUAUCUUGUUGAAUAGGGCAUAAUGCUCACAUCUGUCAAGAUCCUUCUGAUCUUGGAUCUAUCUUCCAAAGAGUUCCCAAUUCCCCCCUGCAUGGUGUCAUCUAUAAAUUUAAUAAGUUCCAAAAUUAUUGAAGAAAUAUAGGAUAUGGAAUUGAACUAUGAAUAGAGAGCUCCAUCCUUGCAAGUUGUGUAAGAGAUUGUCAGCGAUCUCUGGAUCACCACUCUGGAUCUCUGGAUCUCUGGAUCACCAUCACCAAAGGUUUGAUAGAGUCCUUCAAUCUCCUCAUUCCAUUCUGAGAUGUAUUAUCUUCUAAAUCUUCGAGAUGGCCUAUAUGUCUUAAUGAAUCUCAAAUGCAGCAACUAAUAACAAGAAGCUGAAAUGGGAAAGUACAAUGCUAUGCUAUUAUAAUCACAAAGUGAUACAAGACAUUGAAACACAAAGAAAAUAUGGAUACACCAAAAUGCUUUUUUCAACAGCAAUCUUGUAUUGCAUAAAAUAUGCCGUUUCAGUUUUUCAGAUAAAAGAAACUUUUACUGCUUA